GCAAACUUCAGUGGUGACAUACAAAUUCCAAGUUAGUACAACUAAAAAUCAUAUUAGGCAAAUUGUCUGCAGAAGCUAAUUUUAUUUAAGCAAAAUGCAUUUAAUUAAUCUGUAGACACACAUUUUCUAAUACUUUCAUAUCUCUACGUUCAAAACUGUUUGUCAACAGGUUAAGGAAAACAAUUAUCUGCCAGGUGAUUCAUCGUAUACGUAUACCGAAAACUUGGAGUUCAAUAAAUAAAAAAAGGGUUAAAUUAAAUAAGAUACUUAAGCAGCCGACCUGGAUUAUAUUCUAUUCUUUUCUUCAAAAACCAUAGCUUGAUUAUUACGGCCAAGGUUCAGUUGCGAAAUUGUAAGAAACUGAUGAUAAAGGAGAAAUUUCUGAAAAAUUUUGUGGAAACUCAAUUUCCACUUUGGAUUAAUCGUUGGGAAAAUCAAGACUUAAAAAUGUUUUCCAACGAUUUACAUCUGUUAUAGAGUCUGUGCGAAAUUAAUGAAUUUUAGAUUUGACUAUACAGAACGGGAUUGCAUCCAUCAAAGGUGAGAUGACUACUAUGAAGGGUGAUAUAACUGCCAUGAAAGGUUCUAUAUCUCAUUUAGAUAGAAAAAUCUUUUGGAUCAAAGAACUGAAGAAAGAUUUAAUAAUAUGGCUCAAACGAUCCAAAAAAUUGAUGAUCGUUCUUGCAAGUCGAUGAUGCUAACAAGAAAAUAUGAAAACAUGGUCUGUGCAGAUAUGAAUUGUUCGGCUGUUCCAGUACCAUUCCUUAACGGAGAUGAACCUAGAGACUAUGAACUCCCACCCUUGCAAGCCUUGAAGACAUUGAUAAUUUGAUAAAGGAACAGUGUAUUCAAUAUCUUCAUGGGUAUGGUAUUACUAAAUUUAGUCCUCUUGAGACUGUCAAGUUGAAAGAACGACUUCAAGAUGCAAUUGGCUUCUGGUUAAAAGGGUCAGUCGCACACAAAUUUCGUACGUUUUAGGGAAGUAUUUUAUAUCUUUCGCUAUUUUGUUUUCUCUUAGUAGGAAUAUUGGUUUUUCCUUCUCCUUAUUAUGAUCUUUAUAUAUCACUUUCUUGCUAUUAUAAUCAUUAACAGAUCGCCUCUGUUAAAGCUUAGUAUAAUUUGUAUACGCAUUUAAACCAAAGGGACUAUAAAAAUGUCACCGCGCUUGACGAUUCCGUUACGAGAGUAUUGAAUGGCAGGAUAGUGGUCUAAUUCUGCAUUCAACAAGAGAUUCGAAAUAUUUCAAAAUUUUGCUUUACUAGAAUUCGAUGAAAAUAAUCAGGAAGCGAUUGAUAAUUUUCGUCAAGCGAAGGAACAUAAAAUGAAAUUGGAAAACAAAUGUAAUAAAAAAUACUGUAACAAUACGUUUUCACAUUAAAUGAAUGAUAAGACCGAAUAUUGCAAGAGAAAUAUAUAGUCUGGUUAACGCUCUAAAAAUCUAUUAUUUAAAAAAAAUUGCAAACUAUAUAGCAGAUGAAAAUGAUAUUAUUUUACAUAUUGCACAACGCA
rnacentral:lncRNA from 1 species